rnacentral:tRNA from 1 species
GCCAGCAUGGCAUAGUGGUUCAAGCGUUGUACUAGGAUUCUGGAGACCAGGGUUCGAAUCCCUGCUCCGCCA